GACGAACGCUGGCGGCGUGCUUAACACAUGCAAGUCGAGCGGUAAGGGCCCUUUCGGGGGUACACGAGCGGCGAACGGGUGAGUAACACGUGGGUGACCUGCCCUUAGCUCUGGGAUAAGCCUGGGAAACUGGGUCUAAUACCGGAUAUGACUCCAUGACGCAUGUUGUGGGGUGGAAAGCCUUGUGCGGCUAGGGAUGGGCCCGCGGCCUAUCAGCUUGUUGGUGGGGUGAUGGCCUACCAAGGCGACGACGGGUAGCCGGCCUGAGAGGGCGACCGGCCACACUGGGACUGAGACACGGCCCAGACUCCUACGGGAGGCAGCAGUGGGGAAUCUUGCGCAAUGGGCGAAAGCCC
rnacentral:rRNA from 1 species